rnacentral:lncRNA from 1 species
GGCUUUACUCUUCUGUUUUCCUGAAGUGUUUGUCUGCUGUGUGUAACUUACCAAUGGUGGUGCCUUGUGAAUAACCAAUAUAAUAUAGUUUUUCCUGUUCAAUCUUCUUCAUGAUAAAGUUUUUUGCUGCUAGAAGAUCUAACUUGGCCACCUCUUCAAAACUGCAGGUAUUUUAGAUCCAGUUUAGGAGCAAUGGAUAUAGAAGACACCACGUAAGCUUUGCUGGGCUAUUUUCUCCCCUGACAUCAAGAGGAUUCUGACUUCAAGGAGCAUUGGGUUGAACUGUAAAGACCUACCUACAAGUAACAGACCAGUAUUUCUAAAAGCCCUCCCAAACCAGAAUAGCUGGGACAUGAACUGGGCAAAUCCCUCUGAGCUUCCCUGGUGCUGUGCCUCCAGCCUAUACUCUGCUAGCAAUAAAGGAGAGGCUGACCAGGGAAGUGGUAGUGGAGUCACCGUUCUUGAAGGCGUUGAAGAACUGUGGAGACAUGGCACUGAGGGACAGAUUUAUUCCUCUUUCUACCCCCUUACGCUUCAGGAUUAGACCUGGCUCUUCCUGGAACUGAGGUGCUCCUUCACAUGAUGGCUGUGUUGGAACCUUCUGCACAGGCUGUUGUCUGAGCUGGGGCUAGUGAAUGAAGACUUCGUCAUUUUGGCCAGGAAUGUGCUGCUAUCAGUGAGAAAUGGUCACAGGGCUCGAAAUUUGCCAGUGAGCAUACAGACACAUAGAGAGGAUAAUCCCCUGAGCAUUGUUUCCUCAGGAAGACAACUUAACCAUCUUCCCUUAGGCUUAAAAUAACUGUAUGGUUCUGUGCUGUUGUUGGAUUCGUACGGGCUUUGUGUAUGUGCAAGUGACUGCGCUAUUGCAAAGCAAGAUGAUUUUUUAGAGCUAUAUUGUUUUCAGAGACAUGCACAAAUGUAAAGACAUACAAAAGUUUUGCAUAAAUGAGUUCCUCUGAUGUUAUGUACUCACCCUUAGCCUUACAGGAAAUGUACAGUGUAAAACUUGUACCUUGGACAUAUAUCAGGCAUUCAGUUUUUUUAAUUUCAUAAGACAGCAUUCAUCUUCUACAAAAAGAACCAGCUUAUGAAGCACCCCAAAGCUGGUGCCAUUUCUUUUUUCACUGGUGAGCAUUAUUCAAAUUCAAGGAGGGAGGAACUGAAACUAGACUUGAUCGUCGAAAAGCUGAGAAGGCUCUCCAGAAGGUGGACAGGAGGUUCCAGUUUCGAGAGGUUUCAGCGGGUACACAAAAAGAUGCACCAUAUUGUUUAAUGUGAGUUCCUGCAUGUUCAUCAUCACGGAGGUUGUUACACGUGCAGAAAUGUCCACUGCUGACAGGG